UACAGAGGGGGCGAGCGUUGUUCGGAAUUACUGGGCGUAAAGGGCGCGUAGGCGGCCUUCUAAGUCGAACGUGAAAUCCCCGGGCUCAACCCGGGAACUGCGUCCGAUACUGGGAGGCUUGAAUCCGGGAGAGGGAUGUGGAAUUCCAGGUGUAGCGGUGAAAUGCGUAGAUAUCUGGAGGAACACCGGUGGCGAAGGCGGCAUCCUGGACCGGUAUUGACGCUGAGGCGCGAAAGCCAGGGGAGCAAACGGG
rnacentral:rRNA from 1 species